ensembl:lncRNA
GCAUCUUACCAAAAAUGUAAGGAAAAUUGUUUUGUGCAGACAUUUGUAAAUAUGGUUUGUAAUAUUAAAAUAUAUAUAGUUAACUCUUAAAAAAAACAAAUAAAUACAGUACAAUUUUAAAAAAACUGGAGCUCUUUCCCGGAUUUAGCCUGGAUUUUCCCUUGGAUAACAGAUGUGCUUAAAGCACCACCAACCGUGACAGCCAGAUUAGCUUGCCUUUUUUCUGGAUUCCUCUCCUUUUUAUCCUCCAGGUCUUGUUUGUUUUGUUUUUAGUUUUUUGAGACAGGGUCUCACUAUGUAGUUCAGGCUGGCCUUGAACUCACCACAGUCCUCCUGCCUCAGCUUCCCCAGUGCUGAGAUUACAGGCAUGCGCCAUCACACUAGGCAAGGUCCUGAUUGUUGAAGACAGAAAAGGCUGUGUCCAGCAAGUAGGUCAAAGGGGUCUGGGACCUAUCUGAAGGUUUUGUACUUUGCACAAAAUCUCUGGCUGGAUUUUCCUCUUUGCCCUGUGUAACCUGCCUUACUUUUUCAUAAUUAACAGGUUUCUUGUUUGAUUGUUGUUGUUUUGUUUUCCUUUGCUUUUUUGAGAUAGGGUCCUCUAUGUAGCUCAGGCCGGCCUUGAACUCACUGUGUAGCCCAGGCUGACUUCAAACUUGCAGUGAUCCUCCUGCUUCAGCCUCCUGAGUGCUGGGAUUACAGGUGUGCACCACCACACCCAGUCUAACAGGUUUCUCAACACAUCUUUCUGCUCCCACGGACUCUGCUUUUCAUCAUGGCUACAGCAAGUGGUGAGACAAACUGGACGUCUCCGCCGUGUGAGAGGUCAGAGCAAGGGUCAAAGUCAGAAACCCAUCUGCAAACCUCCGGGGUCUCCUGAAGUCGGCCUGAGUGCCUUGCCUUGUUUGUGUCUGUACUGGAAAAGGGCCCUGGAGCCGGAACCCCUCCUUGGGACUCUCCAAGAGGCCGAGCACUGUGAGUUGAAGGAGUGGGAAACUCCACCCCGCCUGUGUCCUUCCUGGAUCAGAGCUGACUGGGGGGCUGAAGCUGAGGUUUCUGAGGCACUUGGGGAGGGUGGCCUGGUUUCCUAGGCUAAGGAGACUCCCGGUGUGGCUGCUUCUGUAAACACAUGGGGGCUGAGAAGGGGCCUCAGUGACUUCAGUCUCCUCUCUGGGCUUCUUCAAGUGCCACACCUGGGCCUUCGCAGAAAGCAGUUGCUGAUAAAGAGCCAUGAGAGCCUGAGCACAAGGAAUUUCACGCCAGUGUCCCUGCCUUUUGCAGAAUAGAUCUAGCUGAAGAACAGUGCUGUGAUUUAGAUGAAUUCUGUACCCAUCUGUCACCAUUUCUGAGUUCAUACCGCACCAAACAGUUCUGCAAUAGGAGAUGAGCGUUUUUUUCUCUCAGAUAGUCAGGGUCCAUUUAUUUCCACUUUGAAGGGUGGAGCCUCAUGAUGAGGUUGCUGGGAUCGCAGGGUGUUUCCUGUGGGGCUUCUGGGGCCUCUGGGCUGGCUCACCAAGAAAUGCUACCACAUGUGGGUCCCAGGGAAAUUCCUUCCAGGUUCUUGGUGUCUUGGACAAGACACAGGGAAAACGUAGUGGAGAUGUACAUUUAUUGAAGGUGGGAAAGAAGUUCACUCUGCAGAGUGAAACCGAGCUAGUGAACAGACUCACAGUGGCCAAAAAAGUAAAAUUCCGAGACAGUCUCACUAAAUUCCCCAGCUGACCUCAAACUUGCAAUCCUCCUGCUUCAGCCUUCCCAGUAGCUAGGAUUACGGUAUGUGUCACAGUUCCUGACUUCAUUUGACUCUUUUUUUAUGGCUUCCAUUUCUC